CGAGGGGUUCCGAAUGUUUUUGAAAAAAAUGGCCGAGGAGCUCCGAAUGGUACAAAAUGCGUACUAUUCUAAUAGAUGGUGAGUUUGACGCCGCCCGGCCGCCCGCACACCAGCCCGUCCGAACAACGACGUUCCGUCAUUCUAAUAACCAGGUUACACUAUGUGAAAACCUGGUUUAUAAAGGUUGUCCGGGGUAGCCCAAUGGUAAGCGCACUCACUUCUCAUCUAGGCAACUCAGGUUCGAUUCCCAGCUUGGGCGCAUGUCAGUUUGGUUUGUGGUCACCAAGCCAGACAAGCGGGUUUUCUCUGGUUUUCCCCCACAACACAAGACCACACUCUCUCAUAAAAUUGUGCCAACACGA